rnacentral:lncRNA from 1 species
UUAAACAAAAUACAAUAAUUCGAAAGAAAACAAUCCAAGAGAUUAGCAAAGUUGCUAAUCCCCGGCAACAGCGCCAAAAUUUGAUGUGAAAAAUAAGUUAACACACAAAAUUAAACCCUCUUUUUAUCAAUUGUAGCAAAGUAUGUAAAUAGGGAUUGUUCUAGACCGGGGAUUAGGAGGGAUUGCUAAACACUUGAAAACUGACUUAGAAAUGUAAAAACAAAGUUUAAAGCACUAGAUUAGACUCAAAGAAUGCAAAACUCACGUUUAAAAUACUAAAACGAACCAAAAACUCAAAACAGCAAUCAAAAGAUUCAAAACUGCCUUAAAAACACUUUCUGGGCAGUUUUGAACAUAAAGCAUCAAAUUGGACGAAUUUGGGUUUUAACUUGUACCAAAACACUUAAAAACAUAAACCAACACACUUUCCAAUUACUCUAGGAAUUCAAAAUAAUUGGGGAUUUGAUUUGGACGAAAAUAAACUUAAAUGGCAGAUUGUAAGAGAAACAGAUUGUAAUACAAAGUUAUGAAGAAUCAAUGGAUGAUGGAAUGGCUAAGGGGUUCUUCUCCACACAUGAAAUAUAUGCAACCUAAAUCGAUUUUCAGUUAUCAAUUGAAUAAGUUAUGAACCUCGACACUCCAAGUUAAUUAGAUCCGCUUAAAUUAACCUUCGGAUUUCCCUAGAAUCAUUGAAUUGGAUGAAUAUGCAUCGCAAACAAAUUAUUCCUAACAAGUUCUUUAUAUGAACAGCAUGAUAAAGAUACAGGUUAGAAUCAUUACGUUCUUUGGACAUCAUAAGCAUCGACAAGGCAUUCGUAACUAUGAAAAGCAUGAUACUCUUGCCAAGAAUCUACUUAACACGAUCGUGACUAGCGACCUUUACUACUUACGAAUAUAAAUUCAUAACGAUUAGGUGAAACAAACUUAUAUCCUAGCAUCAAAUUCAAGUAUGCCAAUUAAGCGUGCACUCUCAACCAACAUACAAGAAUAAGUUCUAAAUCAAACGGUUAAGCAAAUUGUAUUCACGACUCAUGCAACGAUAACCGAGAGUAAUCAAUUUAUUUCACAUAUAUAAUCAUGGUUUUGAAUCCACCCUUAGCCAAAACGAAUUUAGCCAAUCAUACUUAAAGCAAAACAAAGAUUACAUGAAUUAGACAUUGAAAUAUAAGAUAGAAAACACCUAAAAUUGUUCAACAACUCAGAAUGAAUAGCCAAACAAUCGUAGUGAAUCUGUCCCCUUCUUUGCUUGCGGCAGAUUGGGUUGUGAAGAUGUUUUGGGUAGUUUUAUGGUGUAGAAUGGAUGGGGAAUGGUAUGGAGAGGUUUAGGGUGAGUAUGGAGGAGUGUUUGAUGGUUGAAUGAUGGUAGAGAACUCGGCAAAGAGGGUGGAAUAAGGUGGAGUGGCUGUUAUGUUUUCUGGGCACCAGAAUGGUGUUUUUGGGGUGUUUUGCUGCCUAGGGUGAGUAUGGACGAAUUUUCUACAUGAAUGAUGAAUAUGGGAGGUUGAACCCUUUUGCCAAGGGUUGUAAACAUGUAUAUAUAGGCCCCAAAAACCCUAGAGAAUCAGAUUAGGCAGUGGGGGAAAUGCACAGCAAGGAGGGUGAAUUUGUGGUGUGCAAUGGUCCAAGGAUGAAAAUGGAGCAAUGAUGCAAAGUAUGGAGGGUAAAAUAGAGUGGUAUUUCAGCUAGGGAGCAUGAAUGAUUGUGUUCAUUGCAUGGAAAUGAAAAGGGGAGGUGAAAUGUUUCAGAAAUUAGUUAAAGGUGCAGCAACAUGUGUUGCACACGGCAUUGGAUCCCAAAUGUGGAUGAUGGAGCAUCAAUU